rnacentral:rRNA from 1 species
UGGGGAAUAUUGGACAAUGGGCGCAAGCCUGAUCCAGUCAUACCGCGUGGGUGAAGAAGGCCUUCGGGUUGUAAAGCCCUUUUGUUGGGAAAGAAAUCCAGCUGGCUAAUACCCGGUUGGGAUGACGGUACCCAAAGAAUAAGCACCGGCUAACUUCGUGCCAGCAGCCGCGGUAAUACGAAGGGUGCAAGCGUUACUCGGAAUUACUGGGCGUAAAGCGUGCGUAGGUGGUCGUUUAAGUCCGUUGUGAAAGCCCUGGGCUCAACCUGGGAACUGCAGUGGAUACUGGACGACUAGAGUGUGGUAGAGGGUAGCGGAAUUCCUGGUGUAGCAGUGAAAUGCGUAGAGAUCAGGAGGAACAUCCAUGGCGAAGGCAGCUACCUGGACCAACACUGACACUGAGGCACGAAAGCGUGGGGAGCAAACAGGAUUAGAUACCCAUGUAGUCCCUGAGCGGGCUGGCAAGGCGCAU